rnacentral:rRNA from 1 species
CCUACGGGUGGCAGCAGUGGGGAAUAUUGCACAAUGGGGGAAACCCUGAUGCAGCGACGCCGCGUGAGUGAAGAAGUAAUUCGUUAUGUAAAGCUCUAUCAGCAGGGAAGAAAAUGACGGUGCCUGAGUAAGAAGCCCCGGCUAACUACGUGCCAGCAGCCGCGGUAAUACGUAGGGGGCAAGCGUUAUCCGGAUUUACUGGGUGUAAAGGGAGCGUAGACGGCAGUGCAAGUCUGGAGUGAAAGGCGGGGGGGCAACCCCCGGACUGCUCUGGAUACUGUACGGCUGGAGUGCAGGAGAGGUAAGUGGAAUUCCUAGUGUAGCGGUGAAAGGCGUAGAUAUUAGGAGGAACACCAGUGGCGAAGGCGGCUUACUGGACUGUAACUGACGUUGAGGCUCGAAAGCGUGGGGAGCAAACAGGAUGAGAUACCCUUGUAGUC